rnacentral:rRNA from 1 species
CGCGAGGACUAGGGUAAUUUCUGCCACCGAAUACAUUAGCAUGGGAUAAUGGAAUAGGACCCUGUCCUCCUAUUUUCAGUUGGUUUUGGCAGCGCGAGGACUAGGGUAAUGAUUAAUAGGGAUAGUUGGGGGCAUUAAUAUUUAAUUGUCAGAGGUGAAAUUCUUGGAUUUAUGAAAGAUUAACUUCUGCGAAAGCAUCUGCCAAGGAUGUUUUCAUUAAUCAAGAACGAAAGUUAGGGGAUCGAAGACGAUCAGAUACCGUCGUAGUCUUAACCAUAAACGAUGCCGACCAGCGAUUAGGAGACGUUGAAUACAAAACACCACCAUCGGUGCGGUCGUCCUUGGCGUCGGUCUUUCGGGGCCGGCGCGGGGACGGUUUAGCCCGGUGGCACCGGUGAAGAAACUUCGAAAAAGAUGACUCCCC